rnacentral:rRNA from 1 species
ACCAUCCCAGUUCGGAUUGCAGUCUGAAACUCGAGUGCAUGAAGCUGGAAUCGCUAGUAAUCGCAAAUCAGAAUGUUGCGGUGAAUACGUUCCCGGGUCUUGUACACACCGCCCGUCACACCAUGGGAGUUGGAAAUGCCCGAAGUCAGUGACCCAACCAAAAGGAGGGAGCUGCCGAAGGCAGGUUCGAUGACUGGGGUGAAGUCGUAACAAGGUAAC